UACGAGUGGUGCAAGCGUUAUUCGGAAUUAUUGGGCGUAAAGGGCGCGUAGGUGGCAUUUUAAGUCAGUCGUUAAAGACUCCAGCCUAACUGGAGACAUGCGGCAGAUACUGGAAAGCUAGAGGAUGGAAGAGAGAAGUGGAAUUCUCGGAGUAGCGGUAAAAUGCGUAGAUAUCGAGAGGAACACCAAUGGCGAAGGCAGCUUCUUGGUCCACUCCUGACACUGAGGCGCGAAAGCGUGGGGAGCAAACAGG
rnacentral:rRNA from 1 species